AUACGGAGGAUGCGAGCGUUAUCCGGAUUUAUUGGGUUUAAAGGGAGCGUAGGCGGGAGCUUAAGUCAGCGGUUAAAUGGUGCGGCUCAACCGUGCCCUGCCGUUGAAACUGGGUUUCUUGAGAGUGCAAGAGGCGGAUGGAAUUCAUGGUGUAGCGGUGAAAUGCUUAGAUAUCAUGAAGAACCCCGAUUGCGAAGGCAGUCCGCUGGGGCACGUCUGACGCUGAUGCUCGAAGGUGCGGGAAUCAAACAGGAUUAGAUACCCUGGUAGCCCGCACGGUAAACGAUGAUUACCCGCUGUCGGCGGCAGACAGUCGGCGGCCAAGCGAAAGCGAUAAGUAAUCCACCUGGGGGGUACGCCGGCAACGGUGAAACUCAAAUGAAUUGACGGGG
rnacentral:rRNA from 1 species